AGAGUUUGAUCCUGGCUCAGAACGAACGCUGGCGGCAGGCUUAACACAUGCAAGUCGAACGCCCCGCAAGGGGAGUGGCAGACGGGUGAGUAACGCGUGGGAACAUACCCUUUCCUGCGGAAUAGCUCCGGGAAACUGGAAUUAAUACCGCAUACGCCCUACGGGGGAAAGAUUUAUCGGGGAAGGAUUGGCCCGCGUUGGAUUAGCUAGUUGGUGGGGUAAAGGCCUACCAAGGCGACGAUCCAUAGCUGGUCUGAGAGGAUGAUCAGCCACAUUGGGACUGAGACACGGCCCAAACUCCUACGGGAGGCAGCAGUGGGGAAUAUUGGACAAUGGGCGCAAGCCUGAUCCAGCCAUGCCGCGUGAGUGAU
rnacentral:rRNA from 1 species